rnacentral:rRNA from 1 species
CCUACGGGAGGCAGCAGUGGGGAAUAUUGCACAAUGGGCGCAAGCCUGAUGCAGCAACGCCGCGUGAGGGACGACGGCCUUCGGGUUGUAAACCUCUUUUAGUAGGGAAGAAGCGAAAGUGACGGUACCUGCAGAAAAAGCACCGGCUAACUACGUGCCAGCAGCCGCGGUAAUACGUAGGGUGCAAGCGUUAUCCGGAAUUAUUGGGCGUAAAGAGCUCGUAGGCGGCUUGUCGCGUCUGCUGUGAAAACUGGAGGCUCAACCUCCAGCCUGCAGUGGGUACGGGCAGACUAGAGUGCGGUAGGGGAGAUUGGAAUUCCUGGUGUAGCGGUGGAAUGCGCAGAUAUCAGGAGGAACACCGAUGGCGAAGGCAGAUCUCUGGGCCGUAACUGACGCUGAGGAGCGAAAGCAUGGGGAGCGAACAGGAUUAGAUACCCUGGUAGUCCAUGCCGUAAACGUUGGGAACUAGAUGUAGGGACCAUUCCACGGUUUCUGUGUCGCAGCUAACGCAUUAAGUUCCCCGCCUGGGGAGUACGGCCGCAAGGCUAAAACNCAAAUGAAUUGACCGGNNGAGAGNGCGAGACGACACGAGGGAGAGG